ACCUUAUAUAUAUAUAAGUCGCUUUGGAUAAAAGCGUCUGCUAAAUGACUAAAU
rfam:Danio rerio unplaced genomic contig NA682, GRCz11 reference primary assembly.